rnacentral:tRNA from 1 species
GCGCCCAUAGCUCAGUUUGGAUAGAGCGCUUGCCUCCGGAGCAAGAGGCCGCAGGUUCGAGUCCUGCUGGGCGCGCCA